CACGUAGGGCGCGAGCGUUGUCCGGAAUUAUUGGGCGUAAAGAGCUCGUAGGCGGCCUGUUGCGUCCGCUGUGAAAGCCCGGGGCUUAACCCCGGGUCGGCAGUGGAUACGGGCAGGCUAGAGGUAGGUAGGGGAGACUGGAAUUCCUGGUGUAGCGGUGAAAUGCGCAGAUAUCAGGAGGAACACCGAUGGCGAAGGCAGGUCUCUGGGCCAUAACUGACGCUGAGAAGCGAAAGCAUGGGGAGCGAACAGG
rnacentral:rRNA from 1 species